ACCUUUGUAAGUGCUCCUCAGUUCCCGCCCCCCACUCUCUUAGGUGGGACAGAUGGCUAGAGUGGGGUGGAGUUGGGUAUUUCCUGAGUCGUCUAGGCUCUGAUAAAUCCCCAAUAGUUGAGGCUCUGAUAAAAUCGUUUCUCUUGAGGACAAGCCUGAUUAAGAAGAACAGAAUGCUCUGUCAUAUUUCAAAGGGCUCCUUUUCCCCUCCCCAUGCUAGAAGCAUGAGGAGAUUUUCAUUCAGUAUCACUGUGAAGAUCUGGUCAAGCCCCAGGAGGUAAAAAUCAUGAAAGUGUAAGAUCCCUCCUGUGACUACCCCACGCCCUGGACUUUUUAACUCUCAGACGUGUCCACCCUGAGCCUCCAGUAGUUCAUCAAUUACAGUUUGUAUUUUCUACCUCGGUACUGGGUCCCUUCGAGGUUUGUGCUCAGGGAUUUCUGCUCUGCCUAAAGGAAUCCCGUCAGUAUUUCCUGUAGAGCAAGUCUGCUAAUGAAGAGUUUCCUGUUUUGUAAAAAUCUGAAGGCCUCCUGGCUGCAAACAUCCUGCCGAGGAAGGGCUGCCAUCAUCUUUCUAGUUCUCAUCGAGGGAAGAAACGGCCUGCACAUAGAUCUGUGGACCAAUUCGAUGCACAAGUCCGGCUUCCUGAAAAGGCCGACCCCCCCCAGGGUGGGCUGCUCUCCUCGGCCAUCUUCCGGCCCCUCAGAAACCAGCAGGGGCGUAGGGCAGCCAGAGAAGCGCUGAGAGCAUGGCUCACGCAGGCAGGCGGGGCCAGUAUCAGACUGUGUCAGUUCCCUUAAUUUAAGUCAACUUGUCUUAACUACUUACACAUGAACAGAUUCUUUUAAUUGUUCCUUAGUUUUUAAAUUAGAAAAAUAGGACCUGCUGAUGCCAGAAAAAUAAUUCUAAAAAUAAAAAACAGUAUAAAAGUGAAAGUCCCUCCUCAUUCACUAACCUCCACCCCAAAUCCUGAAAGCCCACCUCCAGAAGUAACCAUUGCUGCAGACGUACACUCAAGUGAUUUUGCUGAACUUGGCAAAAAUGACAUCAUACGAUUCAUAAAGCAGCUUGCUUUUGCCACGUAAGAUGCAUAUUGUAGUCUAUCAGGAUGAGUUUUGAAACUUAAAAAUGAUCAAACGUUUUACAGAUCUGUCUUUUUGAUUGAAAACAGGAUUCCUAAGCCUAAUGUUUAUAUGUUAACAAAAAUAUGCCCCCAGGGUGCUUCUUAGCUCCCCCUGCCACACUCAGCAUCCUGUCUGCCCUAGUUUACAGGGACAAAAUAAAAUGAGUGGGGUUUACAUACAUGUUUUCUUUCCGAAUUUCUGAUAGAAUGAGCAAAUUGCUCAAAUUGUGAAUGCUUAAUUUUUGUCCUCUGAGGAUUUAAAAUUUUAAUCUCUUUACUAUUUUCCCUGGCUUUGGAUUUUUUUUUAAAUAGGACUUUUUUUUUAAUAGCACUUGUGUGAAACAGGAGACAGAUGUAGCCAUAGCUAUAGGAUAUGCUUGUUUACUCUCUGUUUCUUCCAAAUAACCAAAAUAAGUCAAUUAAAAAUAUUGACAAAAAGGGGGAAGGUAAUAUA